UUCACGAUUUUUCUUCUUCAUUUCUCAAAAUCUCACACUACUCUUCCUUCUCUUCUCCAAACAGUCGUUGUUGCCACCACCACAACGUCUGUCGUACUCAGCUCGUGCCCAACCCUCGCCACUAUCCUCAUAUUUUUCACGAUCUUCUCGUCACCACUAAGUCGAAACCCUUGUCUCUUUCACGCUCGACUCUUCCCCAACGUCAGAACCCUCAUCUCUUUCAUGUUGUGCUCGCCACCACCAUUGAAAACCUUCAUCCACGUUCUUGCCCAACUUUCACCACCAUCGUGCACAGUCUGUUCGUGCCCAACUCUCACCACCAUCAUCAGAAAUAUUUUUCUCUCCGGUGAAGUGUGUCAGUGAGAUACCCAGAUUCGAUAAGAUACCCAGAUUCGAUGAGAUACCCAUAUUCGAUGAGAUACCCAUUUGGAAGAAGUUGCUUAAGAGAUUCUUAGAUAAGCCUAAGGAGAGGUUGCCCUUGCUCUCAAAGUUCCAAAAAAUUCCAUCACACCUUCCUUGAGAUGGAUAGCUCACGAACCUUCUCCAGAUGUGGCCACUUAUUCUGGUUACAUGAUCAAUGGUUAUUACUAUCACACAAAAAGGCAUGAUGAUAUUAGGAGAGUUCAAAAUAGUGAAGUUAGUUUAAUAUUCACUACAAUGCAAGUGUCUAGUUCUAAAGACAAAAACCCUGUCAUGUCAGAUAUGACAUUUUAUGGCAUAAUACAAGAGACAUGGGAGAUUGAUUACCAUUGAUUAUAUUUUGUUUUAUUUAAGUGUGAUUGAGUUAAUAGUAGAAAUGGGGUCAAAGUGGACGAACUUGGGUUUACCAUUGUGGAUUUGAAAACAUAUUGGGCAUAAAUCAGACCCAUUUAUUUUAGCCUCCUAA